GUGCCAGCCGCCGCGGUAAUACGGAGGUUCCAAGCGUUGUUCGGAAUUACUGGGCGUAAAGGGAGCGCAGGCGGACAGGUCAGUUUAAAGUGGAAUCCCAGGGCUCAACCCUGGACGUGCUUUGGAUACUGCCUGUCUUGAGUUCGUGAGAGGAAAGUGGAAUUCAGGGUGUAGCGGUGAAAUGCUUAGAUAUCCUGAGGAACACCAGUGGCGAAAGCGACUUUCUGGCACGAAACUGACGCUGAGGCUCGAAAGCAUGGGUAGCGAACGGGAUUAGAAACCCGCGUAGUCC
rnacentral:rRNA from 1 species